CGGAAGUACGUCACUCGCAGGUGACUCGCGAGUCGUGCAUCGUGCCAGAAAACUAAACAUGGACGACACACAGGGUUGGAGCACUCGAGAAACUCAAUCACUCAUUGCUCUUUGGAGCGAUGAAAGCGUCCAAAAAAACUUGUUAAAACAUAUAGAGUAUAAAGUAUAUUUUUAUAAAUAUCGCAGAAGAUGAAUGAGCAGGGUUACAAUAGGACGUGGCAACAGUGCCAAAGAAAAAUUAAAAGUCUGAAACUUAUUUACCGCAAAGCGAAGGACAACAACAACUGAAGCGGACGGGCCAGAGUAACAUGUAAAUUUUUUUAAGAAUUGGAUCGAGUGUUGGGAGACAAGCCAUCCUUCGUGCCCGGAGACAGCGAGGUAUUGGAUACGGCAAGAUUGGUGGAUGAGGACAGUAUGGGUGGAGACAUGGAUGAGAUUCAGUCAAAUGAAGAACCUACUUCCAACCCAAGGUCAGAAGACGAUGGUCAAGGUGAAGAGCAAGAUGUUUCCGAUCAUGCACAGCGAGACGAUGCUGG